AGCGGCGAUGGAAAAAGGUAAAAAGUCACCACCGUUUCACCCGGCAACACAUUAGCUGUAUUUGAGGAUGGAUUCCGAAGCAGCGACCCAUUCAGCAGGUACAGCCAGCAGCAGCAGACCGUCUGCGGACCCAUUGCUGCCCGUGCUGCCCAUUCUGGACCCCACUGUGCCCCUGGACAGGCAGCAAUGUGUCCUGAAGGCAACCAAAGCGGC